rnacentral:rRNA from 1 species
GCAUAUCAAUAAGCGGAGGAAAAGAAACCAACAGGGAUUGCCCCAGUAACGGCGAGUGAAGCGGCAACAGCUCAAAUUUGAAAUCUGGCCCCCAGGGCCCGAGUUGUAAUUUGCAGAGGAUGCUUUUGGCGCGGUGCCUUCCGAGUUCCCUGGAACGGGACGCCAUAGAGGGUGAGAGCCCCGUCUGGUCGGACGCCUAGCCUGUGUAAAGCUCCUUCGACGAGUCGAGUAGUUUGGGAAUGCUGCUCUAAAUGGGAGGUAUAUGUCUUCUAAAGCUAAAUACCGGCCAGAGACCGAUAGCGCACAAGUAGAGUGAUCGAAAGAUGAAAAGCACUUUGAAAAGAGGGUUAAAUAGUACGUGAAAUUGUUGAAAGGGAAGCGCUUGUGACCAGACUUGGGCCCGGUGGAUCAUCCAGCGUUCUCGCUGGUGCACUCCGCCGGGUUCAGGCCAGCAUCAGUUCGCCGCGGGGGAAAAAGGCUUCGGGAACGUGGCUCCUACGGGAGUGUUAUAGCCCGUUGCAUAAUACCCUGGGGCGGACUGAGGUUCGCGCUCCGCAAGGAUGCUGGCGUAAUGGUCAUCAGCGACCCGUCUUGAAACACGGACCAAGGAGUCGUCUUCGUAUGCGAGUGUUCGGGUGUAAAACCCCUACGCGUAAUGAAAGUGAACGCAGGUGAGAGCUUCGGCGCAUCAUCGACCGAUCCUGAUGUUCUCGGAUGGAUUUGAGUAAGAGCAUACGGGGCCGGACCCGAAAGAAGGUGAACUAUGCCUGUAUAGGGUGAAGCCAGAGGAAACUCUGGUGGAGGCUCGCAGCGGUUCUGACGUGCAAAUCGAUCGUCAAAUAUGGGCAUGGGGGGCGAAAGACUAAUCGAACCUUCUAGUAGCUGGUUUCCGCCGAAG